CUCUUUCUCUCUGGGGAAUACACGUGCCCCAUGGCAAAACAUUAAAAAAAAAAAAAAAGGAAAAAGAAAACCAGUCUUUCACUCCGGGCAUUUUCUAACUGGGAAAUGCCCCCGACAUGUCCUUUCAAGUUACUCAGCUGUGUGUUUCACUUAGAGAUGCAUCAUAUUUUCAAAAUCCAGGCUCAUCCUCUUAAAUCACCAUUUAUCAUGCUAUAUGUUAGGUCAGAGGCAGAAAAACUUCCAAUGCUAGAUGAGGGGUACCAUAUUCUCACCCAAACACUGCCAUAAACCCCAGGUUUAAAUAUCUUCCUCUGCUAAAGCAGACAGUUCCACGCCUCACUGACAGGUUCAGACAAGAGCAUACAUACAUACG